GAUGAACGCUAGCGGCAGGCUUAAUACAUGCAAGUCGAGGGGCAGCGCAGUGUAGCAAUACAUGGGCGGCGACCGGCAAACGGGUGCGGAACACGUACGCAACCUACCCAAAACUGGGGGAUAGCCCGGGGAAACCCGGAUUAAUACCUCGUAACAUCAGGGAGUGGCAUCACUUUUUGAUUAUAGUUCCGGCGGUUUUGGAUGGGCGUGCGCCUGAUUAGGUAGUUGGCGGGGUAACGGCCACCAAGCCUGCGAUCAGUAACUGGUGUGAGAGCACGACCAGUCACACGGGCACUGAGACACGGGCCCGACUCCUACGGGAGGCAGCAGUAAGGAAUAUUGGUCAAUGGGCGCAAGUCUGAACCAGCCAUGCCGCGUGAAGGAUGAAGGUCCUCUGGAUUGUAAACUUCUUUUAUAGGGGACGAAACCCAGAUAUUCUUAUCUGAUUGACGGUACCCUAGGAAUAAGCACCGGCUAACUCCGUGCCAGCAGCCGCCGUAAGAC
rnacentral:rRNA from 1 species